rnacentral:rRNA from 1 species
UACGUAGGGUGCAAGCGUUGUCCGGAAUUACUGGGCGUAAAGCGCGCGCAGGCGGUUCUUUUAAGUCAGGGGUGAAAGCCCAGAGCUCAACUCUGGAAUUGCCUUUGAAAACUAGAGAACUUUGGGGUACGGGAAAAGGUGAGUGGAAUUCCGAGUGUAGAGGUGAAAAUUCGUAGAUAUUCGGAAGAACACCAGUGGCGAAAGGCGGCUCACUGGCCCGUUACCGACGCCUCAGGCGCGACAGCGUGGGGAGCAAACAGGG